rnacentral:lncRNA from 1 species
AGCUGUUCGUCAGAGUCAUCUUUGGUGACUAUCUGCCUACAGGCAUUCCUUUGCACUCUGGGUGUAGCCCUCAGUGCUGGGCUUACAAAGAAGACAACACAAAAGCAACCAUGAAAAGAUCUUGGAAGCAGAGGGGUCUGCAGAAGUGCUUGCAACACUUUCAGCCUCAACCAACAUCAGAGACAAAAAUCCUUUCUGGAAUGAGAGACUGUUUCUUCUGCGUGAACUGUAAAAGGACCUAUUAUGCUUUAUCUUCAAGCCCAGCAAUGAAUGUAAGGUUCAGAAAAUUUGACAGACAUCCCCCUCCACGACUUAUCUUUUAAAUGAAAAAUAAAUUUAAGAGCAA